UACGGAGGGUGCAAGCGUUAAUCGGAAUUACUGGGCGUAAAGCGUGCGUAGGCGGUUCGUUAAGUCUGUUGUGAAAGCCCCGGGCUCAACCUGGGAAUGGCAAUGGAUACUGGCAGGCUAGAGUGCGGUAGAGGAUGGCGGAAUUCCCGGUGUAGCAGUGAAAUGCGUAGAGAUCGGGAGGAACAUCUGUGGCGAAGGCGGCCAUCUGGACCAGCACUGACACUGAGGCACGAAAGCGUGGGGAGCAAACAGG
rnacentral:rRNA from 1 species